rnacentral:rRNA from 1 species
UGGGGAAUCUUGCGCAAUGGGGGAAACCCUGACGCAGCGACGCCGCGUGCGGGAUGAAGGCCUUCGGGUUGUAAACCGCUUUCAGCAGGGACGAGGCCUUAUGGUGACGGUACCUGCAGAAGAAGCUCCGGCUAAAUACGUGCCAGCAGCCGCGAUAAUACGUAUGGAGCAAGCGUUAUCCGGAUUCAUUGGGCGUAACGCGCUCGUAGGCGGUCUGUUAGGUCGGCAAGUUAAAUCCGGGGGCUCAACCCCCGUCCGCUUCCGAUUCCGGCAGACUUGAGUUUGUUCGGGUCAGCUGGCAUUCCUCUUGUCGCUGUUGAAUGCGCCGCUAUUAGUUCGCACACCGGUGGCGACGGCGGCCUUCUGGGCCCUACCUGCCGCUGAGGAGCGCCAGCUCGGUGAGCGAACAGG